rnacentral:tRNA from 1 species
AGCGCAGCCUGGUAGCGCACUUGCAUGGGGUGCAAGGGGUCGCGAGUUCGAAUCCCGCC